GCCAGGUGUGGUGGCGCACACCUGUGGUCCCAGCUACUCAGGAGGUUGAGAUGGGAGGAUCACCUGAGCCCAGGAGGUCGAGGCUGCAGUGAGCCAUGAUCAUGCCACUGCACUCCAGCCUGGGCAACAGAGUGAGACCUUGUCUCAA
rnacentral:SRP_RNA from 1 species